UACGUAGGGGGCGAGCGUUGUCCGAAGUUACUGGGCGUAAAGAGCGCGUAGGCGGACCCUUAAGUGAGGGGUGAAAGGUUCGGGCUCAACCCGGAGAGUGCCUUUCAUACUGGGGGUCUUGAGUGCGGGAGAGGCAAGUGGAAUGGUCGGUGUAGCGGUGAAAUGCGCAGAUAUCAGGAGGAACACCAGUGGCGAAGGCGGUGCUCUGGGCCGGAACUGACGCUGAGGAGCGAAAGCGUGGGGAGCAAACAGG
rnacentral:rRNA from 1 species